UAUUUGAGGGACACCUUGUGGGGCUCAUUCCGCAUUCUAUUUCAAUGAUCCAAACUGUCUAUUUUUCAAGUCUUCAUCCAUAGAUCAUCCUUAAAAAAAAUUGGGCAAAUCAUAAACCAUUAAGACAUCUAUAUGAAAAUGAUGAACAGUGUUUUGAGUAUCUAUGGAUGAUGACUUAAAAAAUAGACUGUUCGGAUCAUUGAAAUAGAAAGUGGAAUGGGCCUUACAAGGGUGUCCCUCAAAUA
rnacentral:miRNA from 1 species